AGAAUGUUCUUUGCGCGAUCGUGCGCGAUCAAUACAACUUUCAACAACGGAUCUCUUGGCUCUCGCAUCGAUGAAGAACGCAGCGAAAUGCGAUACGUAAUGUGAAUUGCAGAAUYCAGUGAAUCAUCGAAUCUUUGAACGCACCUUGCGCCCCUUGGCAUUCCGAGGGGCACACCCGUUUGAGUGUCGUGAACAUCCUCAACCUGCUCCGUUUUCUCGAACCGAGUAGGCUUGGAAUUUGGAGGUUUUCUGCUGGCCUCCUCCGAAGCCAGCUCCUCUUAAAUCUAUUAGUGGGAUCCGCUUUGCCAGAUCCYCGACGUUGAUAAGAUGUUUCUACGUCUAGGGUUCCGCUCGCGAAGGACCUGCUUCUAACCGUCCCAUCGGGGACAACGUUCGAGCCGCGAUCUCGCCCCCCUUUACACGGGGUGGGAAAGCUACUCGACCCAUAAAAACCUUGACCUCAAAUCGGGUGAGACUACCCGCUGAACUUAAGCAUAUCAAUAAGCGGAGGAAAAGAAACUAACAAGGAUUCCCCUAGUAACUGCGAGUGAAGCGGGAAAAGCUCAAAUUUAAAA
rnacentral:rRNA from 1 species